ensembl:lncRNA
AUGAGGAGUUUAACUGCAUUUAGCACUCUAUCUAUCUCUCCUUCUACCUCCUCUCUAUCCCCCCUCUCUCUAUAUCCCCCCUACCUCCUCUCUAUCCCCUCUACCUCCUCUCUAUCCCCCCUCUCUCUCUAUCCCCUCUACCUCCUCUCUAUCCCCCUCUCUCUAUAUCCCCCCUACCUCCUCUCUAUCCCCUCUACCCUCCUCUCUAUCCCCCCUCUCUCUAUAUACCCUCUACCUCCUCUCUAUCCCCCUCUCUCUAUAUCCCCCCUACCUCCUCUCUAUCCCCCCUCUCUCUAUAUCCCCCCUACCUCGUCUAUAUCCCCCCUCUCUCUAUAUCCCCCCUACCUCCUCUAUCCCCCUACCUCCUCUCUACCCCCCCUCUCUCUAUAUCCCCCCUACCUCCUCUCUAUCCCCCCUACCUCCUCUCUAUCCCCCCUCUCUAUAUACCCUCUACCUCCUCUCUAUCCCCUCUACCUCCUCUCUAUCCCCCUCUCUCUAUAUACCCCCCUACCUUCUCUCUAUCCCCCCUCUCUCUAUAUCCCCCCUACCUCCUUUCUAUCCCCCUCUCUCUCUAUCCCCCCUCUCUCUAUAUCCCCCUACCUCCUUUCUAUCCCCCCUCUCUCUUCCCCCCUACCUCCUCUCUAUCCCCCCUCUCUCUCCCCCUCUACCUCCUCAAUCCCCUCUACCUCCUCUCUAUCCCCCUCUCUCUCUAUCCCCCCUACCUCCUCUCUAUCCCCCUACCUCCUCUCUAUCCCCCUCUCUUUCCCCCUCUACCUCCUCUAUAUCCCCUCUACCUCCUCUCUAUCCCCUCUCUCUAUAUACCCCCUACCUCCUCUCUAUCCCCCUCUCUCUAUAUACCCCCUACCUUCUCUCUAUCCACCUCUCUCUAUAUCCCCUCUACCUCCUCUCUAUCCCCCUCUCUCUAUAUCCCCUCUACCUCCUCUCUAUCCCCCUCUCUCUAUAUCCCCUCUACCUCCUCUCUAUCCCCCUCUCUCUCUAUCCCCCUCUCUCUAUCCCCCUCUCUCUCCCCCUCUAUAUACCCCCUUUCUCUCUAUAUCCCCCUACCUCCUCUCUAUCCCCCCUCUCUAUAUCCCCCCUACCUCCUCUCUAUCCUCCCCCUCUACCUCCUCUAUAUCCCCUCUACCUCCUCUAUAUCCCCUCUACCUCCUCUCUAUCCCCCCUACCUCCUCUCUAUCCCCUCUACCUCCUCUCUAUCCCCCUCUCUUUCUAUCCCCCCUACCUCCUCUCUAUCCCUCUCUCUCUCUAUCCCCCUCUCUCUCCUCUCUAUUCCUCUCUCUCUCUAUCCCCCUCUCUCUCUAUCACCCUCUCUCUAUCCCCUCUACCUCCUCUCUAUCCCCCCUCUCUCUAUCCCCUACCUCCUCUCUCUAUAUCCCCCCUACCUCCUCUCUAUCCCCCCUCUCUCUAUAUCCCCCUACCUCCUCUCUAUCCCCCCUCUCUCUCCCCCUCUACCUCCUCUAUAUCCCCUCUACCUCCUCUCUAUCCCCCUCUCUCUCUAUCCCCCCUACCUCCUCUCUAUCCCCCCUCUCUCUACCUCCUCUCUACCCCACCUCUCUAUAUACCCUCUACCUCCUCUCUAUCCCCCCCUCUCUCUAUCCCCAUCUACCUCCGCUCUAUCCCCCUCUCUCUCUCUCUCCCCCCACCCUCUACCUCCUCUCUAUCUCUCUCCCCCUCUACCUCCUCUCCUUUCCCCACCCUCAAUCUCUCUCCCCCUCUACCUCCUCCUCUCUAUAUAUCUCCCCCCUCUCCCUCCUCUAUCUCUCCCUCCCUCUAUCUCACUCCCUCUCUACCUCCUCUCUAUCCCACCCUCCCUCUCUCUAUCUCACUCCCCCUCUACCUCCUCUCUCUCACCCUCCCUCUCUCUCUCACUCCCCCUCUACCUCCUCUCUAUCCCACCCUCCCUCUCUACCUCCUCUCUAUCUCAGCCUCCCUCUCUCUCUCACUCCCCCUCUAUCUCUCUCCCCCUCUACCUCCUCCUCUCUAUCUCUCCCCCUCUACCUCCUCUCUAUCUCACUCUCCCCCUCUCCCUCCCUCCCUCUAUCUCACUCCCUCUCUACCUCCUCUCUAUCCCACCCUCCCUCUCUCUAUCUCACUCCCCCUCUACCCCCUCUCUCUCACCCUCCCUCUCCCUAUCUCACCCUCCCUCUCUCUCUCACUCCCCCUCUACCUCCUCUCUAUCCCACCCUCCCUCUCUACCUCCUCUAUCUCACCCUCCCUCUCUCUCUCACUCCCCCUCUACCUCCUCUCUAUCUCUCCCUCCCUCUCUCUCUCACCCUCUCUCUCUCACCCUCCCUCUCUCUCUCACUCCCCCUCUACCUCCUCUCUCUCUCUCACCCUCCCUCUCUCUCUCACUCCCCCUCUACCUCCUCUCUAUCUCACCCUCCCUCUCUCUCACUCCCCCUCUACCUCCUCUCUAUCUCACCCUCCCUCUCUCUCUCACCCUCCCUCUCUCUAUCUCUCUCCCCCCCUCUCUCUAUCUCUCUCCCCCUCUCUAUCUCUCUGCAUGUGUCUCUGCAGGGUAGAAAGGGCAUCAUCAGAGCUAAAUGGAUUUAA